UACGAAGGGUGCAAGCGUUACUCGGAAUUACUGGGCGUAAAGCGUGCGUAGGUGGUUGUUUAAGUCUGUUGUGAAAGCCCUGGGCUCAACCUGGGAAUGGCAAUGGAUACUGGCAAGCUAGAGUGCGGUAGAGGGUAGUGGAAUUCCCGGUGUAGCGGUGAAAUGCGUAGAGAUCGGGAGGAACACCAGUGGCGAAGGCGGCUACCUGGACCAGCACUGACACUGAGGCACGAAAGCGUGGGGAGCAAACAGG
rnacentral:rRNA from 1 species